AGAUGAAAGGGCACUUGUACAGAUGAAAGGGCACAUGCACAGGAAGGGAGUGGCCUACAAUGAGGGAAAAAAGAGAGAUUGAGAGAGACAACUGUAAGCCUAGUUUAUGGAAAGACAAAGCACCAUGUUUCAAGAUGGAAAACAUGUACUUCAGGGCUACUAGAAGUUGUGAGCAUUUAGGAGACAUUCAGAUCGUGAAGUUCUAUUUCUUCCCUGGUGGUGCUAUACACGUGUACUUGUUGUGUGCAUGGAGGAGCCAUUUCCGGUGAAGAGCAUCACUGUUGAAUAAUAAGCUAACAGCCAUCAAAGUCAGCAUGCUUGGAUUGGCAAGAUUGGAGUGUAUGAGCUGGCAAGAGCUUGCAGAGGAGGCAAUUCAUUCAAUCACACCAGUAAGCAAUAUCUGGAAAAAGACCAAGAUUCAACCCACAGGGGGGGGGAUGAUGCCAAAGGGGGUGUAGUCCAGACAACAGGGUGCCCUUGCAAGGCACGGUGCCAAAUGGAAAGCAGCAGCAGGAGCUUUCUGCCAACUAAUGCAACACUAUGUUGAUUGGCUCCCCAGUCUAUAAGGAUCUUGUAGAAGACCCUCCCUUCUCCCCACCCUUCCCCAUCUUCUUUUAUUGCAACUGUGGCCCCCCUCACCCUCUUAACUGCCUGAAUCCAAUGUUGUUCUGACCCCCUCCCCUCCUCUCUUCAGUUGCUGAUGGGUUUUGGUGGAGUGGGAUUAAGGUAGACAACCCAUUUCCAAUAACUUUAACAUUUUAGGAUACUUGUAGUAAGUGUAAAAAUGAAAUAAAAUAUUCCCAUGUAGGGAAAUGGAAACGAGGAGGAUUCCAAGUGUUUUUAUACAAUUUGGCCCAAAAAUAUAAUUUAUAUAAAUGUUUUAGUUGAAGAUUCUCUUUAACCCAUUUUUGACAUAUGGGCCAACUUAAUUUGGAUCAUAGGCCAACCUAAUUUUGACAAGUGGUGGGUUACAAAAUUGAGAAUCCAACUUUUUUUAAAACAAAGAAGUGUGGCACCUAAUUAUACUUCUAUUCCACCUCAACCAAUCAACAAUUGCCACCUAUUGAUAAUUCAUGCAUACCCAUUACCAUUGAAAACCAUGGAACAUCAUGAGUUUAAUCAUUGCAUCCCACUAUUAGAUUUUACCCUAAUUUUGAAAAAAUGUAUUAAAAAUAAAAAGAAUGGAGAAAGUCAAACUGCCAUACAAUUUUGAAGAGAAAGAAAAUAAGAUUUGAACACCCAGAGAUGAGUGAUUUUCAUUUGGCACAUGAAGUUUGAUACCCUAGAAGACACAGGGAAUUGUAGACAAUCAAAAUGAUUGCCAUGAGUUUGAGCUGCACACCCUGAUUUAAUCUAUGGGGUCAAAUGGUGAGCAUCUCUUUGUCUCUCUUUUGUCACCUUGCAUGUGUAUGUGAGUGUGUGUGAUGGAUGUUGUGAGCAGAAGCUGCUUGCCUACCCAUGCUGGUGCAAUGGAGAUUAUGUGUUUAGGUGGUGAGAAGAAACCCCUGCCCCACUAAAGGGAUGAUCUCUUUCACACAACCUCACACACAAUCCAUUGUAUUGGAUUGGGAUUAGCUGUGCCAUGUUUGCCACCCUCCUAUUCUCAAACAAUGUGAUGCAGCCUUGUGGUGAGUAGGGAUUGGUUCCAGGCCCUCUUCUAAUUUUGCAAAUCUUGGAACAUGGAGAAAGGCUGCCAUAAAAAGAAGGAAAAUGUUCAUGUAAAUGUAUUUAUGAAUUGGUUUGCAUGCCAAUAGGGAUUUUUGUUGGGUAGCUUAUAGGUGGCAUGAACCCCCAUGCUGGAAACAUGCACUAUGGGGCUGUUUUGACUGGCCUUGUCUGAUUGUUUGGGUUCCUGUUAACCCCUUUUGGGAUGAAGGUUUCAAUCCCCAGAUCCCCUCUUACCCAACCCAUGAUGCUGUUUCUUGCUUUCUCUUAUUACCAGUACUAAUGAGAAAGAAAAACUAUGAAAAAGAAGCAAAAGACCCAUCAGUAAGAAUAGUUUCAAAAUAAAAUAAAAUAAGAGACACAGAAAAGAGAUUUAUUUGAUGCCCUGAACCGACUGACACACUCUCAUGCCAGGAUUUUGUACUUUGCCAAGAGAACUCAGGUUGAAGCUUUUCCACAUGUACUAUACUGGUGGCUGCUUGUUUACUACAAUGAAAAUUUCCUAGCUUCAGAACAAGAGAAAAUAGGUACAAUACAAUGGACUGCAAUUAUUUAGAACUAAUAAAAAAAAUGAUAUCACCCCAUGAAAAUUUUAUUUUGAAAACCUGAUAGAUGAUAAUAAUAAAAAAAAAAUAGAGAAGGAAAAGUAAAAUCAUAAUGAAUGUGCUCAGUGUACUUCUCUACCUACAUGUGAAACCCCUUGAUGAGGCUGGAACACCUAAAGCUGGAGAAACAACAGUGAGUUCAGGAGUAAAGUGAAAGAAAACAGGAGAGACGUACCUCUAAUUUUUACAGUGACAGAAAUGCAUCCAUCCUGAUAAGAUUAUGACACCUUACCGGCGUGAGUAUUGCCACAAUCAAACAGAGUGUGUGUUUGUGUGCGUGGGUGCAGUUGUCUCUGUUCACAGCAUUGUAAAAAUUACCAUCCCAGGAGGCUUUUCCAAUGAUAAAGCCUGCAACCUAUAUUGCUAAGGGCGCUGUUAAACUGGCUACUGAAGACGAUUCAAUAUAUACAAGCAAUCCAAGCAGUGACUUAGGAUGUUCCUGAUCAAAUCGACCUACAAAAUUCUUGAGCUAACCUAUUUCUUUGUCUUUUUUUUUCUUUGAGACUCCCAUGCUAAUUUUCUGAAAGAAACUUUUUGUCUUCCUUCCAUUGCACUGAUUCCCCCUGCCUCAAGCAUGCAAACUGUUUCCAAAUGACAAAAUCAUACAGCAACAUCAGCAGAAAUUACAAUUCGGUUUAUGUAGAACUAGCCAAGAUUAUUUGCUUCUCUAGUCACCUUAAAAAUUUCUACUUACUCUUUGAUUAUGGCCCCAGUUUAAGUUACAUAUACAAUUAAGAGAAUGAAUUUUUGAGACAUAAGAACAUGUAAAGAAUCAAUCAUAAAAUUCAUGAUUUGAGCAUUUAAGUUUAUAAACUUUCUAUGUUCAUUAAACGUCGAUUACACCUCUUUAACAACUAUUCUCUUAAAAAAAUUCCGACAUCAUCAC